rnacentral:rRNA from 1 species
GACGAACGCUGGCGGCGUGCCUAAUACAUGCAAGUUGAGCGCUGAAGGUUGGUACUUGUACCCACUGGAUGAGCAGCGAACGGGUGAGUAACGCGUGGGGAAUCUGCCUUUGAGCGGGGGACAACAUUUGGAAACGAAUGCUAAUACCGCAUAAAAACUUUAAACACAAGUUUUAAGUUUGAAAGAUGCAAUUGCAUCACUCAAAGAUGAUCCCGCGUUGUAUUAGCUAGUUGGUGAGGUAAAGGCUCACCAAGGCGAUGAUACAUAGCCGACCUGAGAGGGUGAUCGGCCACAUUGGGACUGAGACACGGCCCAAACUCCUACGGGAGGCAGCAGUAGGGAAUCUUCGGCAAUGGACGAAAGUCUGACCGAGCAACGCCGCGUGAGGGAAGAAGGUUGUCGGAUCGUAAAACUCGGUUGGUAGAGAAGAACGUUGGUGAGAGUGGAAAGCUCAUCAAGUGACGGUAACUACCCAGAAAGGGACGGCUAACUACGUG